AGCGAACGAUGGCGGCAGGCCUAACACAUGCAAGUCGAACGCAGUGGCGGCCGGGUGAGUAACACGUGGGAACGUGCCUUUAGGUUCGGAAUAACUCAGGGAACCUUGUGCUAAUACCGAAUGCCUUUAGGGCGGCCCGCGUCUGAUUAGCUAGUUGGUGAGGUAAAGGCUCACCAAGGCGACGAUCAGUAGAUGGUCUGAGAGGAUGAUCAGCCACAUUGGGACUGAGACACGGCCCAAACGCCUACGGGAGGCAGCAGUGGGGAAUCUUGCGCAAUGGGCGAAAGCCUGACGCUGUUAUGACGGGUGAAUGAAGCAGGUAGUAGGACAGUAAAACUUUUGUCCCCGGGGUGCGGAACACACAGAGAAAGUCACGGCGAACUAGGUGUCAGCAGCCGCGGUAAUAC
rnacentral:rRNA from 1 species